AUGGGCUUUGUCUUCUGUUCCAUUUUACCCUCCACUGUGCCUUCGCAGUUUUACCUUCUGAAAUGAUGGAGGAAGUUCUGCUGAGGAUGGGGUCAGGAUAACAGCAGACUUCUGAAUAACUCUGCACCCCCAGAAACCUGCAAAGGACACAGGCCCUCUUGGUGGUCUCCUCCUGGAUGCCUUGCUUUCUCCUGGAAGAGUCCUCCCUUCCACCCCGGAUAUCACUGUGAACCGAUUCCCCAGGAUCAACCAUCUGAGCAGAUACCUUGGAAUGUCCCCAGAUUUCAGACCCUGACAUUCAAUGUCUGGGUGAAGUAACAGUAACAGGAAUCAUUGCCAUGAAGGGCAGUCUGUCAACUUGUGCGUGCAAACAACCAUUCUAAGAGCCUUUCUUGCUCUGAUAGGGAGAAAAAACCCUUCGGGGGCUACCAGAGGAGAAGAGGCCAUCCCUCGGACCAGCAGCAACACACUCUGAAGUAGGUCUCAGAAGACAAAAAGCUGAAAUCAACUCAUGCUUCCUGCUACACAGAAUCCACUGGGAGGAAAAGGAAACUUUACCGAAACUUCAGAAAGCUACAGAAAUGACACCCAUUUUCACAAUCCCAGAAGGAAAGCUGCAUCUGAGGGGAAUAAAAACAGAGCAAUGGAAGAGUAUUUGUUAAAAUAAAUUGCUUUGAC
rnacentral:lncRNA from 1 species